UUUUAAAAAGAACUUCCAGACUGGCAAUUUUUGAAAAUCCCGGGCUAAAGUAAAUAUCACGGGGGGGGGGGGGGGGCGCACUGGGGUAGACCCUGUGUAGCUUCGGGAGCCAUGCAGAAUUCCCAGCUGUACAGGGAUAUUUUCCGUGCUCACCCUGAGAUAUUUUGACAGUGUAAAAACAGCCUGAGUAACACUCUCUUCCCUGCUUCACCACUACGCAUUCUUAAUUGACAGACAAUACAACUGUGUAUAUUCCCUCAAAAGUGAGUCCAAUUGUGUUCAAUGACUCUUACGCCCACAUAAGUUUACCUAUGAUCGCUGUUUCUUAAGUAGUUGGUUAAUGACCCAGUUUGAAUAUACAUAGUUUGUGUCUUUUGAUAUUAGUGUGUUACUUUUUCCUCCUCAGACAAAUCUUACAACAUAUUUUCUCACUCUGUGUCUUACUUGUUCCCCCUCAGAUCAAAUCUUACAACAUCUCUUCUCACUCUGUUUUUGCAGUCACAUUGAGUUUGUAAAAGAUGGGCUAAAAUAUAUGCGCCUGAAGUUCUACAUUGAAGGCUCAGAGAAAGGAAAACAAGGGACAGUUCAUCUGGAAGUGAAAGAGAAUCCUGAAAGUGGAAAAUAUGAAUAUCGUUACAUAUUUGUGGAUAUUGAUGUCUACCCUAGGAGAACUAUAAUAAUUGAAGACAAUAGAUAAAGAACCAAUUGGAAGAACCCAUUAUUAUUGGGACCCUUCUUCUGUGCCACAAUAAUGCUUAAUAAGUUAACAAAAGUGGGAUGGAUAAACAAAUGAGACCCAGAAGGUUAUUUUAUAUCUUCGUGUAAUAUCAGCAUCAUGCUAGUGGAACGAAUGAUUUAUAUCUACUUCUGUGAAUGAAGUACUCAGAGUAGGAAUAUGUUUUUAAUAGGAAGUGCAAACAGUGUUGAUACACUGAAUAUAAAUUGGCAGCAAACUGUGACAACAGCAAAGCUGUCAAAGAACUGUUAGUGAUAAUUUUACAACAUAUACAUCAGACACUCUCUUCUACAAUUUCAGGAUAAUUUUUCCACUUCACUAUGGACUGCAUAUCUUUAGUACAAAAAAAUGCAACUUGCCAAAUGUGUAGAAAAUCCAUAUUGUACUUUUGUGACCAGUAUUUGAAUACAUAGUCAAAUGUAUUCAGGGGAGGGCGGUCUAUAAGCCCAGUAAAUAAAAUAAAUAUUAUGGUACAGAAUUUCUGAUUGGAUGUUACUCUUUUUAGUAACAUAACUGUCCUGAAUAAAAAAAUUGUGAUUUUUUUUCCUAGUAA